rnacentral:tRNA from 1 species
GGAAGAUUGGCAGAGCGGUCGAAUGCGCUACCUUGGAAAGGUAGUUAUGGGGAAACCUAUACGGGGGUUCGAAUCCCUCAUCUUCCGCCA